rnacentral:rRNA from 1 species
AUUGAACGCUGGCGGCAGGCCUAACACAUGCAAGUCGAGCGGAUGAAGGGAGCUUGCUCCUGGAUUCAGCGGCGGACGGGUGAGUAAUGCCUAGGAAUCUGCCUGGUAGUGGGGGAUAACGUCCGGAAACGGGCGCCAAUACCGCAUACGACCUGAGGGAGAAAGUGGGGGAUCUUCGGACCUCACGCUAUCAGAUGAGCCUAGGUCGGAUUAGCUAGUUGGUGGGGUAAAGGCCUACCAAGGCGACGAUCCGUAACUGGUCUGAGAGGAUGAUCAGUCACACUGGAACUGAGACACGGUCCAGACUCCUACGGGAGGCAGCAGUGGGGAAUAUUGGACAAUGGGCGAAAGCCUGAUCCAGCCAUGCCGCGUGUGUGAAGAAGGUCUUCGGAUUGUAAAGCACUUUAAGUUGGGAGGAAGGGCAGUAAGUUAAUACCUUGCUGUUUUGACGUUACCAACAGAAUAAGCACCGGCUAACUUCGUG